UGGGGUUUCAUUCAUUUCUAUCAGCCCCAAAAUCUCGACUUCUUCUCUUCUUGAAACCUCUUUAAUCGGCAUGUGCUCAUCCUUUCUCCGGCGAGGUCUCCGAUUAGGUAAUCAAGGGGAUUCAAAGCCGAUGUGAAAGAGAGUAAAUCCAAUCAGACAAUUUAAGGACUGUUCUCUAGGCUUAUUUUUAUUUCGGAUUUCAAAUUUUUUGCAUUCAGAAAUUAGUAAAGAGUAAGAAUUUUGUCAUGUGAUGUCCUUUUGACUUGUUGGAAGACAUUUUUCUCAAAAUGCUUCCAUGGCUUUACUACUAAAGCUACUCAACGAUGCCACCCAAGGGACUUAAUUUCUACAUCUCCAGGCUCCAAACAUGUGUCUCUAUUGAUCAACUUCGUCAACUUCAUGCUCAGAUUCUCAAGACUCGAGUCUCCCACAACGUAUUUCUGUUGACCCGUGUAGCUCACACUUACCUCAAAUUUGGUUGCGUAAAUGUUGGAGAAAGAUUUGUUGUCAACGUCAUUAGAAACCCGCCUUUAUUUCUUUGGAAUGAAACCAUUAAAUGCUAUGCCAGGAAAGGUUGUUACCGAGAAUCAGUCGAUCUUUACUAUGAGAUGGUUCGUAGUGGCUACACUCCUAAUGCAUUCACAUUCACGUUUGUGUUGCCGGCUUGUGCUGGGUUGAAGUCGGUUUCAGAUGCAUGGAGGAUUCAUGAUGAUGUUUUGUUGUUCGGCUGCGAGUAUAAUGAGUUUGUUGCCACUGCACUUAUUGAUGUUUAUGGGAAGUGUGGCGAACUAGGUUUUGCACGCCAACUGUUCAAUGAUUUGCCAGUGAAGAAAACUGCAAGUUGUAAUGCUUUGAUGGCAGGGUUCGUGCUGGAUGAGAAGUUCAAUGAUGCUUUGUCCCUUUAUAAUGAAAUGAAGAAGUUGGGGAUCACGGCUGAUUCAAUGACCCUGGUUAGUGUACUUCAGUCGUGUGCCUCUUUGGGUGCUUUGCAACAAGGAAGAUGGGUCCAUGACCAAGUAAUAAGGAGCCAAAUGGGGAUCAACAUAUACUUGGGUGCAGCGUUGAUUAACAUGUAUGCUAGAUGUGGUAGCAUAGAAGAGGCUCGACGUAUCUUUGAAGGAAUGCCAGAAAAAGAUAUUGUUGCUUGGACAGCAACCAUAUGUGGCUGUGGAAUGCAUGGUCUUGCCCAUCUUUCGGAAUCUCUUUUUCUUCGUAUGCUGAAUGAUGGGAUAAGACCUGAUGCCGUGACAUUUGUUGGAGUUUUGGCAGGUUUUAGUCACAAUGGUAUGGUCGAGAAGGGGUGGUAUUAUUUCAACAAAAUGUCUGACGAGUUUGGUAUAAAGCCUGUCUUAGAGCAUUAUAGUUGCAUGGUUGACAUGCUUGGUAGGGCUGGCCAGUUGAAUGAAGCCGAAAAGCUUGUGAGAGAUAUGGCUGUAAAACCUGAUUCCAAGAUAUGGGGUGGGCUGUUAAAUGCAUGCAGGAUUCAUAAGAAUGUUGAGAUGGCUGAAAGAGUUGUAGGUGAGAUUUUAAGUUUGGAUCCAACUAAUGCCGGAUGGCAUGUGCUCAUGUCAAACAUCUAUGCGACUGCUGGGAAAUGGGACCAGGUUGUCAAAAUGAGACGAAUUAUGAAAGACAGGAAGUUGGAAAAACCACCUGGGUGGAGCUCGAUUGAAGUUGCAGGGCAGAUUCACACAUUUCUUGUGUCUGAUCAAUCACAUCCAAGGUCAAGAGAGAUUUACAGAUAUCUUAAGGAUAUAAAAGAAAAAAUGAGAGCUGAAGGUUAUGUUCCUGAAACAGGUGUUGUGUUUGAAAAGGUUAAUGAGGAAGUGAAGGAGGAGAUGUUAUCUUGUCACAGUGAAAGAUUGGCAAUAGCCUUUGGCAUUCUAAGCACCUCGGAUGGUGAUGUAUUGAGGGUGAUGAAGAAUUUGCGAGUCUGUGUUGAUUGCCAUAAUGUUAUCAAGUUUAUCUCUCAGUUCGCCCAUAGAGAAAUCAUCGUCAGAGAUGCCAAAAGAUUUCAUCACUUUAAGGAAGGUUCUUGUAGUUGUGGAGAUUAUUGGUGAUGCAGACUUGAUUCAACUCUACUCAACAGUUUUGUCGCACUUGGUGGAUACUAUUAUCACCGUAAAUCCUGGUAUCCAUAUGAGGAGGCAGGAGAAGUAUCCAUGCUUUUGUUGUUUGAAGAAGAGGAAGCACCAUUCGUGAAAAAGAUUUAUCACAUUUGCUUGUAGCUAAGGGGCUGCUUGUGUUUCUCUUAAUGGUUCCAUUAAGAGGUAAAUCUUGAUUCGGUCAGUGGGAGAUGUUUGGCGAAAAAAUUCCACCUCUUAAUCGUUCCAAAAGACACUGAAUGGUUUGCAUCUAGGGUAAGCCCAAUCAUUCAGGGGCCAUUUUAUUCCUAUAUUGGCCUUCAAACUCUUUCAUCCUCAUCGCUUGAUGCACGCCUCUCACUGGUAUCUCGUGACUACUGCUGGCUCGAUCCCCUGCUCCAUUUCCUCUCUAUCGCUGGUAUUUCUUGCUUCUCUGCUCGAUUUCAUCUUUGGUUUGAUCUACUGUCAUUCUUUUCCUCUCAUUCUCAUCUAUUGUUGUUCGAUUUCAUCUUUGUUUUGAUCUAAUGUCGUUUGUUUUCUCUCGAUUUCAUCUACUAUUGAUUUUGUUCCAAAAAACCGACACCAUUCACAACUUUUACACUUGUUUCGAACAACCCCUAAAAUAUAAAGAUUGGUUUAUUGGAGUGAAGAGGUCCCGUGCUAUCUCUGACCACAACUUUUACAUUUGCUGUGAAGGAAAAAGAAGAGCAAUAUGAAAAAGAAUUAUAUGGUUGUGAUUGCUCGAAUGAUGGUCAUCUGAUAUGAGCU